rnacentral:rRNA from 1 species
AUUGAACGCUGGCGGCAGGCCUAACACAUGCAAGUCGAACGGUAGCACAGAGAGCUUGCUCUCGGGUGACGAGUGGCGGACGGGUGAGUAAUGUCUGGGAAACUGCCUGAUGGAGGGGGAUAACUACUGGACACGGUAGCUAAUACCGCAUAACGUCGCAAGACCAAAGAGGGGGAACUUCGGGCCUCUUGCCAUCAGAUGUGCCCAGAUGGGAUUAGCUAGUAGGUGGGGUAACGGCUCACCUAGGCAACGAUCCCUAGCUGGUCUGAGAGGAUGACCAGCCACCCUGGAACUGGGACAGGGUCCAGACUCCGACGGGAGGCAGCAGUGGGGAAUAUUGCACAAUGGGCGCAAGCCUGAUGCAGCCAUGCCGCGUGUAUGAAGAAGGCCUUCGGGUUGUAAAGUACUUUCAGCGGGGAGGAAGGCGAUACGGUUAAUAACCGUGUUGAUUGACGUUACCCGCAGAAGAAGCACCGGCUAACUCCGUGCCAGCAGCCGCCGUAA